GGCCCGUUGGUCAAGUGGUUAAGACACCGCCCUUUCACGGCGGGAACACGGGUUCGAAUCCCGUACGGGUCA
rnacentral:tRNA from 1 species